AUUGAACGCUGGCGGCAGGCCUAACACAUGCAAGUCGAACGGUAGCACAGAGAGCUUGCUCUCGGGUGACGAGUGGCGGACGGGUGAGUAAUGUCUGGGAAACUGCCCGAUGGAGGGGGAUAACUACUGGAAACGGUAGCUAAUACCGCAUAAUGUCGCAAGACCAAAGAGGGGGACCUUCGGGCCUCUUGCCAUCGGAUGUGCCCAGAUGGGAUUAGCUUGUAGGUGAGGUAACGGCUCACCUAGGCGACGAUCCCUAGCUGGUCUGAGAGGAUGACCAGCCACACUGGAACUGAGACACGGUCCAGACUCCUACGGGAGGCAGCAGUGGGGAAUAUUGCACAAUGGGCGCAAGCCUGAUGCAGCCAUGCCGCGUGUAUGAAGAAGGCCUUCGGGUUGUAAAGUACUUUCAGCGGGGAGGAAGGGAGUGAGGUUAAUAACCUUAUUCAUUGACGUUACCCGCAGAAGAAGCACCGGCUAACUCCGUGCCAGCAGCCGCGGUAAUACGGAGGGUGCAAGCGUUAAUCGGAAUUACUGGGCGUAAAGCGCACGCAGGCAGUCUGUCAAGUCGGAUGUGAAAUCCCCGGGCUCAACCUGGGAACUGCAUUCGAAACUGGCAGGCUGGAGUCUUGUAGAGGGGGGUAGAAUUCCAGGUGUAGCGGUGAAAUGCGUAGAGAUCUGGAGGAAUACCGGUGGCGAAGGCGGCCCCCUGGACAAAGACUGACGCUCAGGUGCGAAAGCGUGGGGAGCAAACAGGAUUAGAUACCCCGGUAGUCCACGCUGUAAACGAUGUCGACUUGGAGGUUGUUCCCUUGAGGAGUGGCUUCCGGAGCUAACGCGUUAAGUCGACCGCCUGGGGAGUACGGCCGCAAGGUUAAAACUCAAAUGAAUUGACGGGGGCCCGCACAAGCGGUGGAGCAUGUGGUUUAAUUCGAUGCAACGCGAAGAACCUUACCUACUCUUGACAUCCAGAGAACUUAGCAGAGAUGCUUUGGUGCCUUCGGGAACUCUGAGACAGGUGCUGCAUGGCUGUCGUCAGCUCGUGUUGUGAAAUGUUGGGUUAAGUCCCGCAACGAGCGCAACCCUUAUCCUUUGUUGCCAGCGGUCCGGCCGGGAACUCAAAGGAGACUGCCAGUGAUAAACUGGAGGAAGGUGGGGAUGACGUCAAGUCAUCAUGGCCCUUACGAGUAGGGCUACACACGUGCUACAAUGGCAUAUACAAAGAGAAGCGACCUCGCGAGAGCAAGCGGACCUCAUAAAGUAUGUCGUAGUCCGGAUUGGAGUCUGCAACUCGACUCCACGAAGUCGGAAUCGCUAGUAAUCGUGGAUCAGAAUGCCACGGUGAAUACGUUCCCGGGCCU
rnacentral:rRNA from 1 species